GGGCCAUUAGCUCAGCUGGCAGAGCAUUUGACUUUUAAUCAAAGGGUCGCUGGUUCGAAUCCAGCAUGGCUCA
rfam:Alloiococcus otitis ATCC 51267 genomic scaffold supercont1.2, whole genome shotgun sequence.